AGUGAACGCUGGCGGCGUGCCUAAUACAUGCAAGUCGAACGAAGUGGCGCACGGGUGAGUAAUAUAUAGUUAAUCUGCCCUACACAGAGGAACAACAGUUGGAAACGACUGCUAAUACCUCAUAGUGUAGGAUGAGGCUAUAUCGUAUCAGCUAGUUGGUAAGGUAAUGGCUUACCAAGGCUAUGACGCGUAACUGGUCUGAGAGGAUGAUCAGACACAUUGGAAGUGGGACACAGUCCAAACUCCUUCGGGAGGGAGCAGGAAGGGAUAGUGCGCAAUGGGGGGAACCCUGACGCAGCAACGGCGCGUGGAGGAUGACACUUGUCGGGACGUAAACUCCUUUUAUCAGGAAAGCGGUACCUGAUGAAUAAGCACCGGCUAACUCCGUGCCAGCAGCCGCGGUAAUUC
rnacentral:rRNA from 1 species